rnacentral:rRNA from 1 species
AGAGUUUGAUCAUGGCUCAGGAUGAACGCUGGCGGCGUGGAUAAGGCAUGCAAGUCAAACGGUCCCGACAAAUUUAGCAAUAAAUUUGUCGCGGAUAGUGGCAGACGGGGUAGUAACACGUAGGAACUCACCCCAGAGACGGGCAUAACUCCGCGAAAGCGGAAUUAAUUCCCGAUAGUUCCCGAAAGGGUAAAACAAUUAGAUUGGCUCUGGGAGAGGCCUGCGGGCUAUCAGCUAGUUGGCGGGGUAAUGGCCCACCAAGGCUACGACGGCUAGGGGAAGUGAGAGCUUGACCCCCACCAAUGGAACUGCGACACGGUCCAUACACCUACGGGUGGCAGCAGCCGAGAAUAUUCGACAAUGGGCGAAAGCCUGAUCGAGCGACGCCGCGUGCAGGACGAAGUCCUUCGGGACGUAAACUGCUUUUUUAGGGGAGGAACGAAAGUGACUGUACCCUAAGAAUAA